AGCUCCAAUAGCGUAUAUUAAAGUUGUUGCAGUUAAAAAGCUCGUAGUUGGAUUUCUGGUUACUUUGGCCUGGUCCGCCCCGUUAAGGGAGUGAGUACCGGAGCCAGUGGGCCAUCCUUCUAGGAAGGGUCUCUACCCUUAAUUGGGCCGGAGGCUCGACUUGGAUCGUUUACUUUGAAGAAAUUAGAGUGUUUAAAGCAGGCUUAUUGCUUUGAAUAUAUUAGCAUGGAAUAAUAAGAUAGGACUCUGAUCCUAUUUUGUUGGUUUCUGGGAUUAGAGUAAUGAUUAAUAGGGACAGUUGGGGGUGCUGGUAUUUAACGGCCAGAGGUGAAAUUCUUGGAUUCGUUAAAGACCAACUUAUGCGAAAGCAUUCACCAAGGAUGUCUUCA
rnacentral:rRNA from 1 species